rnacentral:rRNA from 1 species
UACGGAGGAUGCGAGCGUUAUCCGGAUUUAUUGGGUUUAAAGGGUGCGCAGGUUGUUUGAUAAGUCAGUGGUGAAAGUCUGUCGCUUAACGGUAGGAUUGCCAUUGAUACUGUUAGACUUGAAUAUGGAUGAGGUAGGCGGAAUGUGGAGUGUAGCGGUGAAAUGCAUAGAUAUUACACAGAACACCGAUUGCGAAGGCAGCUUACUAAUCCAUCAUUGACGCUGAGGCACGAAAGCGUGGGGAUCAAACA